rnacentral:rRNA from 1 species
CCUAGGGGGGGCAGCAGUGGGGAAUAUUGGACAAUGGGCGAAAGCCUGAUCCAGCCAUGCCGCGUGUGUGAAGAAGGCCUUCGGGUUGUAAAGCACUUUCAGUGGGGAAGAAAGCCUUGGGGCUAAUACCCUCGAGGAAGGACAUCACCCACAGAAGAAGCACCGGCUAACUCCGUGCCAGCAGCCGCGGUAAUACGGAGGGUGCGAGCGUUAAUCGGAAUUACUGGGCGUAAAGCGCGCGUAGGCGGUCUGAUAAGCCGGUUGUGAAAGCCCCGGGCUCAACCUGGGAACGGCAUCCGGAACUGUCAGGCUAGAGUGCAGGAGAGGAAGGUAGAAUUCCCGGUGUAGCGGUGAAAUGCGUAGAGAUCGGGAGGAAUACCAGUGGCGAAGGCGGCCUUCUGGACUGACACUGACGCUGAGGUGCGAAAGCGUGGGUAGCAAACAGGAUUAGAUACCCCAGUAGUC